UGUCCAGACUCCUACGGGAGGCAGCAGUGGGGAAUAUUGCACAAUGGGGGAAACCCUGAUGCAGCGACGCCGCGUGAGUGAAGAAGUAAUUCGUUAUGUAAAGCUCUAUCAGCAGGGAAGAAAAUGACGGUACCUGAAGAAGAAGCCCCGGCUAACUACGUGCCAGCAGCCGCGGUAAUACGUAGGGGGCAAGCGCUAUCCGGAUUUACUGGGUGUAAAGGGGGCGCAGACGGCGAUGCAAGCCAGGAGUGAAAGCCCGGGGCCCAACCCCGGGACUGCUCUUGGAACUGCGUGGCUGGAGUGCAGGAGGGGCAGGCGGAAUUCCUGGUGUAGCGGUGAAAUGCGUAGAUAUUAGGAGGAACACCAGUGGCGAAGGCGGCCUGCUGGGCUUUUACUGACGCUGAGGCUCGAAAGUGUGGGGAGCAAACAGGAUUAGAUACCCGGGUA
rnacentral:rRNA from 1 species